rnacentral:rRNA from 1 species
CGCUGGCGGCGUGCCUAACACAUGCAAGUCGAACGCGAACGGGUCUUCGGACCCUAGUAGAGUGGCGCACGGGUGAGUAACACGUGGGCAAUCUACCCAGGGAUUUGGGAUAACCAGGGGAAACCCUGGCUAAUACCGAAUACGUCCAUGAGGCCUUCGGUCCUCAUGGAGAAAGGUGGCCUCUUCUCGAAAGCUGCCGUUCCUGGAUGAGCCCGCGGACCAUUAGCUUGUUGGUGAGGUAACGGCUCACCAAGGCCAUGAUGGUUAGCUGGUCUGAGAGGAUGAUCAGCCACACUGGGACUGACACACGGCCCAGACUCCUACGGGAGGCAGCAGUGGGGAAUCUUGCGCAAUGGGGGAAACCCUGACGCAGCAACGCCGCGUGGGUGAUGAAGGCCCUUGGGUCGUAAAGCCCUGUCUGGAGGAAAGAAUCCCGCUCUCGCUAAUACCGGGAGUGGAUGACGGUACCUCUGAAGGAAGCACCGGCUAACUCCGUG